rnacentral:rRNA from 1 species
UGGCCCUACGGGGGGCAGCAGUGAGGGAUAUUGGUCAAUGGGGGAAACCCUGAACCAGCAACGCCGCGUGAGGGAAGACGGUUUUCGGAUUGUAAACCUCUGUCCUCUGUGAAGAUAAUGACGGUAGCAGAGGAGGAAGCUCCGGCUAAAUACGUGCCAGCAGCCGCGGUAAUACGUAUGGGGCAAGCGUUAUCCGGAUUUACUGGGUGUAAAGGGAGCGUAGGCGGCAGGGCAAGCCUGAUGUGAAAGCCCGGGGCUCAACCCCGGGACUGCAUUGGGAACUGCCCUGCUGGAGUGCCGGAGGG